rnacentral:rRNA from 1 species
AGGCCUUGACAUGCAGAGAACUUUCCAGAGAUGGAUUGGUGCCUUCGGGAACUCUGACACAGGUGCUGCAUGGCUGUCGUCAGCUCGUGUCGUGAGAUGUUGGGUUAAGUCCCGUAACGAGCGCAACCCUUGUCCUUAGUUACCAGCACGUUAUGGUGGGCACUCUAAGGAGACUGCCGGUGACAACCGGAGGAAGGUGGGGAUGACGUCAAGCCAUCAUGGCCCUUACGGCCUGGGCUACACACGUGCUACAAUGGUCGGUACAAAGGGUUGCCAAGCCGCGAGGUGGAGCUAAUCCCAUAAAACCGAUCGUAGUCCGGAUCGCAGUCUGCAACUCGACUGCGUGAAGUCGGAAUCGCUAGUAAUCGUGAAUCAGAAUGUCACGGUGAAUACGUUCCCGGGCCUU